ACGCUGGCGGCGUGCUUAACACAUGCCAGUCGAACGAAGAGCGAUGGAAGCUUGCUUCUAUCAAUCUUAGUGGCGAACGGGUGAGUAACGCGUAAUCAACCUGCCCUUCAGAGGGGGACAACAGUUGGAAACGACUGCUAAUACCGCAUACGAUCUAAUCUCGGCAUCGAGGAUAGAUGAAAGGUGGCCUCUACAUGUAAGCUAUCACUGAAGGAGGGGAUUGCGUCUGAUUAGCUAGUUGGAGGGGUAACGGCCCACCAAGGCGAUGAUCAGUAGCCGGUCUGAGAGGAUGAACGGCCACAUUGGGACUGGGACACGGCCCAGACUCCUACGGGAGGCAGCAGUGGGGAAUCUUCCGCAAUGGACGAAAGUCUGACGGAGCAACGCCGCGUGAGUGAUGACGGCCUUCGGGUUGUAAAGCUCUGUUAAUCGGGACGAAAGGCCUUCUUGCGAAUAGUGAGAAGGAUUGACGGUACCGGAAUAGAAAGCCACGGCUAACUACGUG
rnacentral:rRNA from 1 species